GAUUAAUUAGAUAGAUGCCGUAAUUUGACUCUGCAAAGGUAGCAUAAGCACUAGUUUUUAAUUAAAAGCUUAUAUGAAUGGUUGCACGAAAUAUGUACUGUACCUUUUGAAUAAGUAGAAUUUAAUUUUUGAGUAAAAAAGCUUAAAAAAUAAUAAAAGACGAGAAGACACCAUAGAUUUGUAUAAAUUUAUUUAAAUUUGUAACUAGGAAUAUUUUAUUAAUUAUAGAUUGAAUAAUUGUUUUGGGGUAAUAGGACGAUUGAUUUAAUUCUUUUUUAAACAUUUCAAUAAUAUUUAAUUAUUUGAUUCUUAUUUAAAGAUUAUAAGAUUAAGUUAUCUCGGGAAUAACAGUGUAAUUUUUUUAGAGAGUUCUUAUCGAUAAGAAAGUUUGAAACUUCGAUGUGGGUUUAAAAGUUUUGAUUAAAAUUUUAUGUGAUCUGAGUUCAGACCGGUGUAAGCCAGGUCGGUUGAAAUAAAUUUAUUUUAGUACGAAAGGACCAAAUAAUUAUUAUUAUUAUAUUUAAAUUAUCAUUAUAAUUA
rnacentral:rRNA from 1 species